AUAGAUAGAUAGAUAGAUAGAUAGAUAGAUAGAUAGAUAGAAGCAAACAAAAAAGAAAAAGAAAUUACCCCACCCUACAGGAUGCUGUUGCUCACCUCUAGGAUGUGUCCUUAAUAAACCUAAAAAACAGUUCCUCACAGAAAGAGCCAGAAAGUAGUCUCCAAGAUGAGUCCAUAUCAAGCCACGUUUAAAACAGUGCUAAACCAGGACAAACCAUGCUCCGGCUUUACUGUGAAACGUCUUUCACGGGCUCAUACAUUUGCACUGGGAUGCUGUGGAACCUUCCGGAGUUGGGGCCAAGCUGGCAUUGCUUCCUCAAGCAAGCAUUGCCCGAUUCCUUGAUUUCCUGACCCAUCAAGAUGUCCCAGCUACAAGCUCCAGCCCCUCGGAAUCCAGCAGGCCUUCACUGACAGGAUGGGCUGUACUCCCUCCAACCCUGAGCCAGGAUAAACUGGCCCGUCUCUAAGCCGCUUCCGCCAGACACUGUGUCACAGCCACAAGAAGGGUAUGCUGGAUUAGGCAGGAUGGCCCUGGCGUCAACGGCCUCUCUGAAGCCUCCGUGCUCCUGGCUGUAAGGGGAAGCCGACAGUACAUGGAUGAGGACCUCAGUGGAGACACCAAGGAACCUGGACGCUCCUGCUGAGGACCCAAGUGCUGUCCCCAACACCCACUGGUGGCUCAGGUGGUCCGCCUUGAUUCCUGGAGCACCGGGAUCACAAAUGCAACCCUAACUUCUCUCUGCGAACUAGCCCACCAUCCCCAGACACCGGCUCUGUCUUCACAGGCGGCCCCCUUCAUGUCUGCAUCUCCGAGAAACCAAACACGGCUUAUUUCCCGUUAAUUUUCAUCUGCUUUUACUAUUUUGAUCGCACAAGUGCAUACUUGUCAUCGAUGAGGAAGAAGAUAGUCAUGAGCUAGAAAGUGCCACAGGCCUGUUAUCCUAGUGCUCAGAAGGCUUAGGAAGACCACUGUUGGGAAUUUCAGGCAAGCCUGGGCUACAUGGAAAGGUCCUGUGGGGAUGGGGUGGAGUGUAGGGCUAUAGGUCAGUGGCAGAGAGUUCAACUCCCAGUACCCUAUAAAAUGGAUGUCACAGCAAAUGCCUGCAAUCUCUGAUCUUGGGGGGCAGAGGCAGGAAAAUCAGGGCUUCAAGGUCAUCCAUGGUUAUAAAGCGAGUUCCGGACCAGCCUGAGCUGUGUGAGACCCUUUCUAUAGAAAAAAAACUCAGAUCCCAAACUCAGAGGUAAGUGUUGGUAAUAAUUUAUAUUUAAAUUUAACUCAAUAUUUAAAUCUGAAUAUAAUCUGAAUAUGGCAUGUGAUCCUUCAUAUGGAACACUAUUCUCUUUUUACAGUUUUUUGUUGCUGCUGUGGCUGCUGGCCUAAACCUGGGGUGAGCCUCCUGCCUCUGCCUCCAGGGUGCUGAGACAACAAGCCAGGGCACGAUACCCAACUUUUACCAAAAAUUUUCUUACAUAAAAUACUCCAACUGUUUUCGUAGUCAUCAGUUCAGUGGCACAUUUUCUUUCCCAUCGGUAUACUAUUUCUUCUUCUUUUUUUAAAAAUUUAUUUAUUUUUUAUAUUAAUCACAGAUUAUUUACUUUGUAUUCCAGCCAUAGCCCCCUCCUCUUUUCCUCCCAAUCCCACCCUCCCUCCCUCAUCUUCUCCCUGCCCCUUUGCAAGUCCUCUAACAGGGGAGGAUCUCCUCCCCCUCCAUCUGACCCUAGCUUAUCAAGUCUCCUCAGGACUGGCUGCAAUGUCCUCUUCUGUGGCCUAGCAAGGCUGCUCCUCCCUCGUGGGGGGUGGUGGUGGAAGAGCUCGCCAUUGGGUUCAUGUCAGAAAUAGUCCCUGUUUUCCUUAUUAGAGAACGCAUUUGGACACUGAGCUACCAUGGGCUAUAUCCAAGCAAGGGUUCUAGAUUAUAUCGAUACAUGGUCCUUGGUUGGGGAAACAAUCUCAUGAAAGACCCCUGUGCCCUGACAUAUUUGGUCCUUGUGGUGCUCCUGUCCUCUCCAGGUCUUACUGACUCCUCCUUCUUUCAUACUUUUUCUUCUUAACGUGCUCUGCCAGGUCUGCUUGUUCUCAUGUGCUGAAUGUUUGCGUUAUCAUCAUGUUCCCUGUCUGAAGAGACCUGUGAGUUCCUUUAUGCUUCUCCUGCCUGGGUCCUGAAGGUGGGACAGGCUGGUGGAGUGGCAGGAUGGCAGGGAGAAGGGUGGCAGGGUGGCAGGGAGGAAGGGUGGCAGGAAAGAAGGGUGGCAGGUCUUCUGUGGAUGGGUAAUGUGGACGGGCUCCUGGUUGUUGUCUGGGGACCUUCUCACCUACUCUUUCUAAACACAGGAGGUCAGAGAAGGGUCACAAGAAAACCUGUCCUGAUGACCCUGUUGGGGCUGGCUGGCGUUUCAGAAAAGAGAAGGGGUCAUUAGUCACCAAUAACCUACUAUUUCCUGGCGAUUCCCGGCAAGCCGUAGAAAAGGCCCUGGUAGUUAAUAUAAUGAGGAGCCUGGUUCGCUCUGUGGUUGUCUCAUGCAGGAAGUAAACAAAUAAAGCCAGGAAAGGGCGCGUAUGCUUGGGCCGGUACCCUCCCACCCCAUUUCUGCCAAGAAAGCAGGUACAUGGAUGGAUCACCUGCCUUUCCCCCCUAGGAGCUGUGUACUCUCCCCCAUCCUGGGCACUCUUACCCACUUCUCAUGGGCCAGCCUGGACGGGAAGCAGAAGUCAGUCCACACGGUAUCCAUCGGGGACACCCAGAGCAGCCAUACAUGCCUCACCCUGGGGGGACGCAGGCAGGCUCCCAAGAGGAAACCCAGAAUGUCAGAUCUUCCACCAUGGGAAGUCCUGGGGAUUGAACUCAGGUCAUCAGGUUUGGUAAUGAGUGUCUUUACCCAAUGAGCCGGGCCUCUGAUGUUUGUUUCUUUAACUUCUGGUAUUUGGAAACGGUGUCUCAUGCAGCUCAGGUUGGCCUCAGACUCCCCUGAAGCCAAGGAUGGCCUUGGACGCCUGAUCCUCUUGCCUCUAGCUGCCUGGUGCUGGGGCUACAGAUGUGCUGCCUUCACACCCGGUUUAUAUCGAGCUGGGGAAGAACCCAGGGCCUCCCGCAUUCUGUGCAGCUACCAAUUGCGCCCCAGCCCCUAAACUGCCUCUCAGAACAUGGUUCUGGCCCUGAUGGAGAAGGAAGUGCCUCACCACACCUGAUACUGACAGACAUUUGGAUUGGCGUGUCCGCCUCUCCCUUCAGAGCGUUUCCCGCAGCCAUGUCUCACAGCUGUGCGAACCCAGUGUGGCUUGUCGUGCUGGGUAUUUGGGCCUCAACCUCCCGACCCUACGAAGGAGAGAGAAGGUUAGUGGGAAGAGAGGGCCCUUUACUUCUCCCCACUGUUUAGGGCCGAUGGGUCUUUUAGGGCUCUGCUCCUACCCACGUGGAUCCUGGCCUGCUGGUUCCAUGACUGACUUGUGGGUGUUACAGACGCGGUGAUGAACUCUCGCCUGGCCUGGUGGCAUGAGGAAUGGUUCUGUCUGGUGUUGCCAGGCCUGGCAGAGAACACAGCUCCCAGGCAGCCACAGGAUCACGCGGCGAGCGGCCAGAGCCUGUCACUAACAAAGGAAGAAAAGAAGAAGGGAAGGAAGAAUUUAUACACGCUGCCAUCAUUACGUACAGUCACCACCAGAUACACUUAGGGUCUGUGAGGUGUUUUGAAUGUGCAUGUGGGUGUGGACACUUGUAUAACUUUGGCUGGGUCAAGGCCGGUGGCAGCAGGAUCCUUCUGGCUUCUGCUUUACAGGAGGACGGGCCUUUCGCCACAGCAGGAGGACACCUAAGAGGUGACCCAAAGGCAGCAUUCCCCCACUGCCCUGGUGCUGAGCUGCGUGCUGUGUGCUCUGUGUGUACUGAGUUCUGAGGUGUGCGUUGCUUUUGAUUUGGCGGCCGCUGCUCCGAAAAUGACGGGAGCAUGCUGGACUCUUAGGAGGCUGCCCCCGAACUGGUUCCAGUCGGACUCUCUGUCCCUCUCCCCCAUUUUAUCUCUAGGGUUUGGCUGGCUGGAAGGUACUACCUCUGGGUGAGCAGGAGCUCAGUGGCAGAGUAAUGGGCUGGAACACAUGAGGCCCUGGGUUCUUGCAGGACAAGGUGGCCAUGUUGGAAGUAUAAGGGCAGAGGAAUGAAGGGAGCCAGGAAGUGCCAGGAGAUGUGACCACAGUUGCCAACAGCUUCUGUAUUGGGUGGCCACUGCCCAGAAGAUAUGAAAUUUAAAGGAUCGUCAGUGGCUACACCCUGGUGAAGCCAAGGGCCUUACAAAGUGCCGCCAGGAAAAUCAGUCUGCUCCACUGCUCAUUUUUAUCAUGAGAAAUGAAAUGAGAGUUUGAAGUUUGAGCUCCAGGAUCCCCAUGAUGGAAGGAGAGAAACCAUGCCCUCAAGUUGUCCUCUGACCCCACCAAAUGCAUGUUUCCGUGUGCAUGAAAACACACACACACACACACACACACACACACACACACACACACACGAUAGUAGUAAUAAAAACAAUAACUUGCAUAUUCA